GUGACGGGACUGGAAGGAUACGAGGGUUUCUAACCCCCGCAGGACCCGGGCCGCCCUGUUGAGGGAGACUGUCUGAGGAUGAAGUCUUGUCGACCUGGGAAGAGAUGAAUUCUUGGCAAUAUCUGAGCCCUGGAUGCAGCCCUCUGGGUCACCGGACUUCCUCUGGCUUUUUCCCUACAUGCUCCCCCUGUUUAAUUAUUUAGGAAUUUUGAGCUGUGUUUUUGCCAUUAGUGACCAGAAGAGCCUCAGAACGAGAUACCUAAUGUGUGUCCAAGAGGAGCUUAGGUAUUUAUGUCUUGGCAAGAAGGGCUUGGAGGACGGAUCAAGUCUGAAAUCUCAGCUGCCACUGCUAAGACGAUGACCUUCUGACUGUCUUUUAUUUCAGCGUGGAAACAUCUGGCGGUGGCUGGGACCUGUCUCAGCUCAUGGGGAGCCCCUGGAAGGGGGUGGCGUCUUUGGACAACUCAGCAUCUUCCCCCCGCCCCCCCACCCUGCAAAGAGAAAAUAUCCGCUAUUCUUUUUCCCGGAAAACAGAAACGGGCCAGAAGAGGAAAACCGGGUUGAGCUGAACACAAUCUGUUAUUUUGAGUCAGAGAAUCCUGGCUUCUUCCUGUGAUGGGGGGGGGGGGGGGUCUGAAGCUCCUGUCCAGGAGUGGCCAAGGAAGAAGUGGAAGAGGUGACUUUUGGGGGGACAGAAUCCAAGAGGGGGAAUUGGUGCAAAGGGCGCCCUAUUACCACCCAGUCCUGUCCCCUGACCUGCAAAACACUCUGCCUUCUCCUCCAGCUAGGACCUUCUCUGACGGAUACUGUGGUAUCCAUACUGUCGUUUCCAAAAGACGGUCACAGCCAUAUUUCAAAUCUUACGCAUUCUUCCAGAACCUCACUGCAGCCUAGUCAAGAGGCGGAGUCCAUUUUCCUUCCCUUAAGGACAUUGUGUGACGUUGUGAUAACCUCAUCAAAUGGGAUGAAGCAGAAAUGACGCCGCACGAUGUCCAAGACUAGGUCCACCUGACUCUCUCUUUCUCUUGGACACUCACCCUGAGAACCCAGGAGCCAUUUUGCAAGGAAGCUCAGGCUCCACGGAGAGGCCCCAUCUAGAUGUUCUGGUUGACAUUCCCAGCUGAAGUCCUAGCCAAGAGCCAGCAUGAACCGACGGACAGCCCUUGUCCUCACAGCCGUGAUGAAGGAGCCGCACCUCCCGCGGUCACCCCGGACCCCGCAGCUUCCUGCCGACACCAGUUUUUGAGGCUCUGAGGUUAUCAAACGCUACUGCAGUAAAGAUGCCUACCUCCACUGCCUCCUGCCCGGGUAACCUGAGGCAGGCUGACCCACCUCUCUGAGCUCCGUGUCCUGAUGGGUGAAUGAGGACCGAUGAGAAGGCCAGCUUCAUGGGGCUGUCGCCAACCUUGCAUGAGAUGAUCUACGCAGACUGCUUCGAACUGCGCUGGCACAGGGUCAUCAUGUCAGCGUUGGUGAACCCUGGUUCUCGACCUUUCCUUCCCUUCCUUCCUGGUUUCCCCCUCUCCCGCCUCCUCCUUCCCAGCCUCCACAAUCCUCUAGGGGACACCUGCCAUGAACCAGGCACUUUUCUAGGUGCUGCCCAUCUCCAGAACUGUCCUAAGAAUGGCAUGUCCCAAACGGGAAAGCACUUUGCUCUAUCGGGUCUGAUCUGUCGUGGAGGGGGAGAGGUGAUAAAUUCGCACAGGCUUGUGGUGACUUCUCUUUCAGCUUCCUCUCAUCUAGGGUCAUUAAUUUCGAGCCUUGACUGGGACUUCUAUCAUCUGUGGCUAUAGUGACAUUAAUUUGAUAUUCUCUAACCUCCGUCCCUUGCAUACGAGCGUCAUAAUGACUCUUAUUUGCCAUCGCCACGUACCACGUACAACUAGGCUUUAUUUGAUAUUGGGUUUUGAAUUACUCAUUUCCUUAAAUGUAGAUCGAACCUUAACUGAAGCAGUACUCUCCUGAGACCAGGAGUUAGAUGGGUACACAGUAAACACGUAGCUGGUAAGUGGAAUUAAAAAAUGUCCCCCUCCCUUGCCCCAAAUCACCCUCUUUGGUACCAGAUCCCGACAGUGGGCUGCUCUACCGGGCAUCGCCCUCUCACCGUCCAGCUGACUAGAAACCUCCGAUUCGUCGGUUCAUAUAUAUCAACUUCUAUCUGCCUUUCCCAAGCCGAGGGCUUGCUGUCACCCGUGGCUGUAAUGGCCUUAAUUUGACAGCACUAACUUCAUCUCAUCACCAUCAUUAUUCCUUCUUUCCACAGCCACG